UAGGGAAUCUUCGGCAAUGGACGAAAGUCUGACCGAGCAACGCCGCGUGAGUGAAGAAGGUUUUCGGAUCGUAAAACUCUGUUGUUAGAGAAGAACAAGGACGUUAGUAACUGAACGUCCCCUGACGGUAUCUAACCAGAAAGCCACGGCUAACUACGUGCCAGCAGCCGCGGUAACACGUAGGUGGCAAGCGUUGUCCGGAUUUAUUGGGCGUAAAGCGAGCGCAGGCGGUUUCUUAAGUCUGAUGUGAAAGCCCCCGGCUCAACCGGGGAGGGUCAUUGGAAACUGGGAGACUUGAGUGCAGAAGAGGAGAGUGGAAUUCCAUGUGUAGCGGUGAAAUGCGUAGAUAUAUGGAGGAACACCAGUGGCGAAGGCGGCUCUCUGGUCUGUAACUGACGCUGAGGCUCGAAGGCGUGGGGAGCAAACAGG
rnacentral:rRNA from 1 species